rnacentral:rRNA from 1 species
UAGGGAAUCUUCCACAAUGGACGAAAGUCUGAUGGAGCAACGCCGCGUGAGUGAAGAAGGGUUUCGGCUCGUAAAACUCUGUUGUUAAAGAAGAACAUAUCUGAGAGUAACUGUUCAGGUAUUGACGGUAUUUAACCAGAAAGCCACGGCUAAAUACGUGUCAG